rnacentral:lncRNA from 1 species
AUUCAGAUAAUUUUUAUUUCUAGUUGAAAUAGGUUUAAAUCUUGUAUAUAUUUAUACAACUCUGUAUAAUUUAUUAAAACGCGACAAUACAACCCAAUAAUAUUCCUAACUCUACAAGAUCCAUAUCAAGCAGAUACAGUUAUGGCGGGUGCAGUGGCGAGUUUAUUCAAGAGGAUGGGUUUCUGGGGUGUUGUGAAUGUAGUCUCGAUAGGUUCAUUACCAGUCCUAGCUUAUCUAUGCGUGCAGCAGGAAAAACAACUUGCUUGGCUUGAUGAACAAGAGAAACGUGUGAUUGCGAGCAUGAUAGCUAGAGGAAUUGUCAGAGAGCGUUGAGGGUUGCAGAUUUUCCACAAAUAUGUGUUUUUUUUGAAAAAAUUAAAUAUGUUAGUUCUCCAUGUCUCCAUCUAUUAUGUUUCCAUUAAAUUAAAUAACUCUUUUCG